rnacentral:rRNA from 1 species
GGUAUUCCGUUACGAACGAGACCUUAACCUGCUAACUAGUCUGUCUGUGAAUAACAGAUUGUACUUCUUAGAGGGACUAUUGUGCAAGAAGCCAAUGGAAGUUUAAGGCAAUAACAGGUCUGUGAUGCCCCUAGACGUGCUCGGCCGCACGCGCGUUACAAUGACUGGCGCAGAAAGUAUUUCCUGUCCUGGGAAGGUACGGGUAAUCUUAUUAAUACCAGUCGUGUUAGGGAUAGUUCUUUGGAAUUUUGGAUCUUGAACGAGGAAUUUCUAGUAAGUGCAAGUCAUCAGCUUGCGUUGAUUAUGUCCCUGCCGUUUGUACACACCGCCCGUCGCUUGUAGUAACGAAUGGUCUGGUGAACCUUCUGGACUGUGACAGCAAUGUUACGGAAAAAUAAGUAAACCCUACCAUUUGGAACAACAAGAAGUCGUAACAAGGUAUCUGUAGGUGAACCUGCAGAUGGAUCAUUA